GACGAACGCUGACGGCGUGGAUUAGGCAUGCAAGUCGAACGGUAUCAUCCUUUCGGGGGUGAGAGAGUGGCGAACUGGUGAGUAACACGUAGGUUAUCUACCCUCAAGACGGGGACAACCCAGGGAAACUUGGGCUAAUACCGGAUGUGAGCAACUUUUAGUUGUUUGAAAGGUGGCGUAAGCUGUCGCUUGGGGAUGAGCCUGCGUCCUAUUAGUUAGUUGGUGAGGUAACGGCUCACCUAGGCAAUGAUAGGUAGGCGGCCUUAACGGGUGGUCGCCCACACUGGGAUUGAGAUACGGCCCAGACUCCUACGGGAGGCAGCAGUCGAGAAUAGUCUACAAUGGUCGGAAGACUGAUAGUGCGACGCCGCGUGAACGAUGAAUCCCUUCGGGGUGUAAAGUUCUUUUAUAUGUGAGCAGUGCUUCUUAUAUUAACAGUAUGGGGAGAGAGAUAUUAGCAUAUGAAUAAGCAACGGCUAACUCCGUGCCAGCAGCCGCGGUAAACUCG
rnacentral:rRNA from 1 species